rnacentral:rRNA from 1 species
GGUUAAGCGACUAAGCGUACACGGUGGAUGCCUAGGCAAUCAGAGGCGAUGAAGGACGUGCUAAUCUGCGAAAAGCGUCGGUAAGGUGAUAUGAACCGUUAUAGCCGACGAUGUCCGAAUGGGGAAACCCAGUGCAAUUCGUUGCACUAUCGUUUGAUGAAUCCAUAGUCAAACGAGGCGAACCGGGGGAACUGAAACAUCUCAGUACCCCGAGGAAAAGAAAUCAACCGAGAUUCCCCUAGUAGCGGCGAGCGAACGGGGAGCAGCCCAGAGUCUUAAUCAGCAUCAGCAUCAGGAGAACGGUCUGGAAAGGCCGGCAAUAAAGGGUGAUAGCCCCGUAUCCGAAGGUGUUGGUGUUGUGAACUCGACGAGUAGGGCGGGACACGUGUUAUCCUGUCUGAAUAUGGGGGGACCAUCCUCCAAGGCUAAAUACUCCUGAUUGACCGAUAGUGAACCAGUACCGUGAGGGAAAGGCGAAAAGAACCCCGGCGAGGGGAGUGAAAUAGAACCUGAAACCGUGUACGUACAAGCAGUGGGAGCCUUGAUUUAUCAGGGUGACUGCGUACCUUUUGUAUAAUGGGUCAGCGACUUAUAUUCUGUAGCAAGGUUAACCGAAUAGGGGAGCCGUAGGGAAACCGAGUCUUAACUGGGCGAAUGAGUUGCAGGGUAUAGACCCGAAACCCGGUGAUCUAGCCAUGGGCAGGUUGAAGGUUGGGUAACACUAACUGGAGGACCGAACCGACUAAUGUUGAAAAAUUAGCGGAUGACUUGUGGCUGGGGGUGAAAGGCCAAUCAAACCGGGAGAUAGCUGGUUCUCCCCGAAAGCUAUUUAGGUAGCGCCUCGUGAACUCAUCUUCGGGGGUAGAGCACUGUUUCGGCUAGGGGGUCAUCCCGACUUACCAACCCGAUGCAAACUACGAAUACCGAAGAAUGUUAUCACGGGAGACACACGGCGGGUGCUAACGUUCGUCGUGAAGAGGGAAACAACCCAGACCGCCAGCUAAGGUCCCAAAGUCAUGGUUAAGUGGGAAACGAAGUGGGAAGGCUCAGACAGCCAGGAUGUUGGCUUAGAAGCAGCCAUCAUUUAAAGAAAGCGUAAUAGCUCACUGGUCGAGUCGGCCUGCGCGGAAGAUGUAACGGGGCUAAACCAUGCACCGAAGCUGCGGCAGCGACAUGUAAAUGUUGUUGGGUAGGGGAGCGUUCUGUAAGCCUGUGAAGGUGUGCUGCGAGGCAUGCUGGAGGUAUCAGAAGUGCGAAUGCUGACAUAAGUAACGAUAAUGCGGGUGAAAAACCCGCACGCCGGAAGACCAAGGGUUCCUGUCCAACGUUAAUCGGGGCAGGGUGAGUCGACCCCUAAGGCGAGGCAGAAAUGCGUAGUCGAUGGGAAACAGGUUAAUAUUCCUGUACUGGUGAUAAUUGCGAUGGGGGGACGGAGAAGGCUAGGCUGGCCGGGCGACGGUUGUCCCGGUUUAAGGAUGUAGGUGGGUGAAUUAGGCAAAUCCGGUUCGCUAUACACUGAGGUCUGAUGACGAGUCACUACGGUGGCGAAGUAGCUCAUGCCCCGCUUCCAGGAAAAGCCUCUAAGCUCUAGAUUAUCAUUAAUCGUACCCCAAACCGACACAGGUGGUCAGGUAGAGAAUACUCAGGCGCUUGAGAGAACUCGGGUGAAGGAACUAGGCAAAAUGGUGCCGUAACUUCGGGAGAAGGCACGCUGGCA